GCCGUCGCCGGAAUCCCAAUCCUCACCAAAAUUUCCAGAUUUCUUCUCUUCCUUCCCUCUUUCCAUUUCUCCAACCAAAACCAAGAAAUUUGGCCAUCCAACCCUCCAAAAACCCUAGAACCCGAAGCUAAAUUGGGGCUUUUUGUGAUUUCUUCUUUCCAAGCUUAAAUCAAGGCUAUGGGUUUGGCAAGGAUUUUUGGUGAAGAAGGCCAAGGAGAAGGAAUAGGACGUGAUUUUUGAAGAAGAAAGGGAAACACGAUCGUUAAGGAAGCUUAAGCGGAAAGCAUCAGAGUGUGGAGUAUGCCAGCAUUUUCUAGGUUACAACGAGGUCAUUCCGGACGAUUUGGAUUAGAAUUGGGUCAUUGGCCGAGUUCGUGUUUUGCUG